rnacentral:rRNA from 1 species
CUGUCGGAGAGUUUGAUCCUGGCUCAGAACGAACGCUGGCGGUACGCUUAACACAUGCAAGUCGAACGGUAACAGGUCCUUCGGGAUGCUGACGAGUGGCGAACGGGUGCGUAACGCGUGGAUACCUGCCCCGAGGUGUGGGACAACAGCUGGAAACGGCUGCUAAUACCGCAUAAGCCUUACGAGGGAAAGGCGCAAGUCGCCUUGGGAGGGGUCCGCGUCGGAUUAGCUAGUUGGUGGGGUAAAGGCCUACCAAGGCGACGAUCCGUAGCUGGUCUGAGAGGAUGAUCAGCCACACUGGGACUGAGACACGGCCCAGACUCCUACGGGAGGCAGCAGUGGGGAAUAUUGCGCAAUGGGGGCAACCCUGACGCAGCGAUACCGCGUGGGUGAAGAAGGCCUUCGGGUUGUAAAGCCCUUUCAGACCAGCUACGGAUCGUCGCCUUGGUAGGCCUUUACCCCACCAACUAGCUAA